UGCAGUCGAGCGGACCAAUAGAAAAGCUUGCUUUUCUUGAGGUUAGCGGCGGACGGGUGAGUAACACGUGGGCAACCUACCUGUAAGACUGGGAUAACUUACGGAAACGUGAGCUAAUACCGGAUAGUUUCACUUCUCGCAUGAGAAGUGAAGGAAAGAUGGCUUUUAGCUAUCACUUACAGAUGGGCCCGCGGCGCAUUAGCUAGUUGGUGGGGUAAAGGCCUACCAAGGCAACGAUGCGUAGCCGACCUGAGAGGGUGAUCGGCCACACUGGGACUGAGACACGGCCCAGACUCCUACGGGAGGCAGCAGUAGGGAAUCUUCCGCAAUGGACGAAAGUCUGACGGAGCAACGCCGCGUGAGCGAAGAAGGUCUUCGGAUCGUAAAGCUCUGUUGUUAGGGAAGAACAAGUACCGGAGUAACUGUCGGUACCUUGACGGUACCUAACCAGAAAGCCACGGCUAACUACGUGCCAGCAGCCGCGGUAAUACGUAGGUGGCAAGCGUUGUCCGGAAUCAUUGGGCGUAAAGCGCGCGCAGGCGGUCCUUUAAGUCUGAUGUGAAAUCUUGCGGCUCAACCGUAAGCGGUCAUUGGAAACUGGGGGACUUGAGUGCAGGAGAGGAAAGCGGAAUUCCAUGUGUAGCGGUGAAAUGCGUAGAGAUAUGGAGGAACACCAGUGGCGAAGGCGGCUUUCUGGCCUGUAACUGACGCUGAGGCGCG
rnacentral:rRNA from 2 species